rnacentral:lncRNA from 1 species
AGUUUCGGGCCAGUUGGGAACUGUGGAAGGGCUGGGCAGGGGAACCAGAUCAGGGCCCACUCUGCUAUUGAUGGGGAGCACAGGGCUGGAGGGGGCUGGUUGGGGCCAGCACAGAAUGGGGACGGGCAGAGGGUUGGAGAGCCGCCAGGAGGCUGAGUCCACAGGUGGGGCUGGGAGGGGCCGAGGUGACUUGGUGUUUGCACAUGGGGGAACGACGGGUCCCGGCCCAGUGGGCGGUGGUGCCUGUGGGACCCUGGUCAUCUGGGAUGGCCUGGCUCUCAGGGCCUGAGGUAGUGAGGCUGUAUAGGAGGGGCCUCACCUGGGCCAGAGGCACUGUGGCCCCGGGACUGAAAACUCAUCUUUGUUUGCUCAGCACUGGGCCCAGUGAGCACAGGCAGGUGAGGGAGUGAGGGUCCCACUGUUGGGAGGUGGGGGAGGCGUGUUUCCAGCUCCUGGCUGAGGGCUGCACCCAGCCUGCUGCUAAGCCACCGAAAUGAGGGUGAAGAGAGCAGUCGUGGCCUGUGAGGGUCAUUGCAGCUGCGCCCACGCGCCAGGGUGAGGAUGGAGGAUGGAGCUAAAUGUGGGUCAACCCCUCCUUUCCUGGUCAUUGUUACCUCGACUUCUAAGUGAGGAAUCUUCUGGGGAAAUGACAGAGGCCCCCGCAGGGACACUGUUUGCUGCUGGCCAGGUGUGAGGGGGCUGCUGUGUCAGUGGGCAGCAGGGACGGCUCUAAAGCCAGGCUGGGCCCAGCAGUGCCCCACAGGCAGGAGCCCAAGAAGUCCCUGCCUCGCCACGUGGUGAGACCCUUGCCCACAUCUGGGCGGGGCCAGCGCUGCUGAAGACUACUUUUUUCUGUUACAAAAAAGUGGGAUAGCCGGGCGCGGUGGCUCACGCCUGUAAUCCCAGCACUUUGGGAGGCUGAGGUGGGCAGAUCACGAGUUUGGGAGUUCAAGACCAGCCUGGCCAAGAUGGUGAAACCCCGUCUCUACUAAAAAUACAAAAA